UACGGAGGGUGCAAGCGUUGUCCGGAAUCACUGGGCGUAAAGGGCGCGUAGGCGGCUCAUGAAGGCUGUGGUGAAAGUCCGGGGCUCAACCUCGGAUCGGCCGUGGCGACUCGUGGGCUGGAGCACUGUAGAGGCGGGUGGAAUUCCGGGUGUAGCGGUGGAAUGCGUAGAGAUCCGGAAGAACACCGGUGGCGAAGGCGGUCUGCUGGGGUAAUGCUGACACUGAUGCGCGACAGCGUGGGGGAGCAAACAGG
rnacentral:rRNA from 1 species